UGCAGUGUUGCCGAUGAUGGAUCUAUAGUUGAAAUGAAUAUCUGUGAUUAUUCAUCAGCUUCGUCACUACCACUGAGGCAACAAGCA